AGUCGAGCGGUAACAGAGAGAAGCUUGCUUCUUUGCUGACGAGCGGCGGACGGGUGAGUAACGCGUAGGAAUCUACCUAUUAGUGGGGGAUAAGCCAGAGAAAUUUGGUCUAAUACCGCAUACGCCCUACGGGGGAAAGGAGGGGCUCUUCGGACCUUUCGCUAUUAGAUGAGCCUGCGUAAGAUUAGCUAGUUGGUGAGGUAAGAGCUCACCAAGGCGACGAUCUCUAGCUGGUCUGAGAGGAUGAUCAGCCACACUGGGACUGAGACACGGCCCAGACUCCUACGGGAGGCAGCAGUGGGGAAUAUUGGACAAUGGGGGCUACCCUGAUCCAGCCAUGCCGCGUGUGUGAAGAGGGCCUUCGGGUUGUAAAGCACUUUCAGAUGUGAGGAAAGGUGAGUAGUUAAUACCUGCUUACUGUGACGUUAGCAUCAGAAGAAGGACCGGCUAACUCCGUGCCAGCAGCCGCGGUAAUACGGAGGGUCCGAGCGUUAAUCGGAAUUACUGGGCGUAAAGCGCGCGUAGGCGGUCUGUUAAGCUGGAUGUGAAAGCCCAGGGCUCAACCUUGGAACUGCAUUCAGAACUGGCAGACUAGAGUAUUGGAGAGGUAAGUGGAAUUUCCUGUGUAGCAGUGAAAUGCGUAGAUAUGGGAAGGAACACCAGUGGCGAAGGCGACUUACUGGCCAAAUACUGACGCUGAGGUGCGAAAGCGUGGGGAGCAAACGGGAUUAGAUACCCCGGUAGUCCACGCCGUANACGAUGUCUACUAGCCGUUGGGAUCCUUGAGAUCUUAGUGGCGCAGCUAACGCACUAAGUAGACCGCCUGGGGAGUAC
rnacentral:rRNA from 1 species